UGGCUCACGGAGCCGGAGCAUGAAAAAACAACAAAAACAACAAAAAAAUGGCUCGGCCAUUGCACUCCGGUUGUGCUGACCCCUGCGAAUUCCCCAAAUGUGGGAAUCUCGACUGCAUAAUUUAUGGUAGUGGGGGACUGCGUACGCGCUCUCCCCUG